rnacentral:rRNA from 1 species
GAGUUGCGAACGGGUGAGUAACGCGUAGGUAACCUACCUAUUAGAGGGGGAUAACUAUUGGAAACGAUAGCUAAUACCGCAUAACAGUAUGUAACACAUGUUAGAUGCUUGAAAGAUGCAAUUGCAUCGCUAGUAGAUGGACCUGCGUUGUAUUAGCUAGUAGGUAGGGUAAUGGCCUACCUAGGCAACGAUACAUAGCCGACCUGAGAGGGUGAUCGGCCACACUGGGACUGAGACACGGCCCAGACUCCUACGGGAGGCAGCAGUAGGGAAUCUUCGGCAAUGGGGGGAACCCUGACCGAGCAACGCCGCGUGAGUGAAGAAGGUUUUCGGAUCGUAAAGCUCUGUUGUUAAGGAAGAACGAGUGUGAGAAUGGAAAGUUCAUGCUGUGACGGUACUUAACCAGAAGGGGACGGCUAACUACGUGCCAGCAGCCGCGGUAAUACGUAGGUCCCGAGCGUUGUCCGGAUUUAUUGGGCGUAAAGCGAGCGCAGGCGGUUAGAAAAGUCUGAAGUGAAAGGCAGUGGCUCAACCAUUGUAGGCUUUGGAA